rnacentral:rRNA from 1 species
GACGAACGCUGGCGGCGUGCCUAAUACAUGCAAGUCGAACGAACUCUGGUAUUGAUUGGUGCUUGCAUCAUGAUUUACAUUUGAGUGAGUGGCGAACUGGUGAGUAACACGUGGGAAACCUGCCCAGAAGCGGGGGAUAACACCUGGAAACAGAUGCUAAUACCGCAUAACAACUUGGACCGCAUGGUCCGAGUUUGAAAGAUGGCUUCGGCUAUCACUUUUGGAUGGUCCCGCGGCGUAUUAGCUAGAUGGUGAGGUAACGGCUCACCAUGGCAAUGAUACGUAGCCGACCUGAGAGGGUAAUCGGCCACAUUGGGACUGAGACACGGCCCAAACUCCUACGGGAGGCAGCAGUAGGGAAUCUUCCACAAUGGACGAAAGUCUGAUGGAGCAACGCCGCGUGAGUGAAGAAGGGUUUCGGCUCGUAAAACUCUGUUGUUAAAGAAGAACAUAUCUGAGAGUAACUGUUCAGGUAUUGACGGUAUUUAACCAGAAAGCCACGGCUAACUACGUGCCAGCAGCCGCGGUAAUACGUAGGUGGCAAGCGUUGUCCGGAUUUAUUGGGCGUAAAGCGAGCGCAGGCGGUUUUUUAAGUCUGAUGUGAAAGCCUUCGGCUCAACCGAAGAAGUGCAUCGGAAACUGGGAAACUUGAGUGCAGAAGAGGACAGUGGAACUCCAUGUGUAGCGGUGAAAUGCGUAGAUAUAUGGAAGAACACCAGUGGCGAAGGCGGCUGUCUGGUCUGUAACUGACGCUGAGGCUCGAAAGUAUGGGUAGCAAACAGGAUUAGAUACCCUGGUAGUCCAUACCGUAAACGAUGAAUGCUAAGUGUUGGAGGGUUUCCGCCCUUCAGUGCUGCAGCUAACGCAUUAAGCAUUCCGCCUGGGGAGUACGGCCGCAAGGCUGAAACUCAAAGGAAUUGACGGGGGCCCGCACAAGCGGUGGAGCAUGUGGUUUAAUUCGAAGCUACGCGAAGAACCUUACCAGGUCUUGACAUACUAUGCAAAUCUAAGAGAUUAGACGUUCCCUUCGGGGACAUGGAUACAGGUGGUGCAUGGUUGUCGUCAGCUCGUGUCGUGAGAUGUUGGGUUAAGUCCCGCAACGAGCGCAACCCUUAUUAUCAGUUGCCAGCAUUAAGUUGGGCACUCUGGUGAGACUGCCGGUGACAAACCGGAGGAAGGUGGGGAUGACGUCAAAUCAUCAUGCCCCUUAUGACCUGGGCUACACACGUGCUACAAUGGAUGGUACAACGAGUUGCGAACUCGCGAGAGUAAGCUAAUCUCUUAAAGCCAUUCUCAGUUCGGAUUGUAGGCUGCAACUCGCCUACAUGAAGUCGGAAUCGCUAGUAAUCGCGGAUCAGCAUGCCGCGGUGAAUACGUUCCCGGGCCUUGUACACACCGCCCGUCACACCAUGAGAGUUUGUAACACCCAAAGUCGGUGGGGUAACCUUUUAGGCACCAGCCGCCUAAGGUGGGACAGAUGAUUAGGGUG